rnacentral:rRNA from 1 species
AGAGUUUGAUCCUGGCUCAGGACGAACGCUGGCGGCGUGCUUAACACAUGCAAGUCGAACGCUGUCCAUUCGGUAGCAAUACUGAUGAAGACGGAGUGGCGAACGGGUGAGUAGCACGUGAGCAACCUGCCCCGAAGACUGGGACAACACCGGGAAACCGGUGCUAAUACCGGAUAUCCCCACCGGAUCGCAUGAUCUGG